UCCGGGAGACACACGGCGGGUGCUAACGUCCGUCGUGAAGAGGGAAACAACCCAGACCGCCAGCUAAGGUCCCAAAGUUAUAGCUAAGUGGGAAACGAUGUGGGAAGGCUCAGACAGCCAGGAUGUUGGCUUAGAAGCAGCCAUCAUUUAAAGAAAGCGUAAUAGCUCACUGGUCGAGUCGGCCUGCGCGGAAGAUUUAACGGGGCUAAGCUAUACACCGAAGCUGCGGCAAUAUGACUCGUUCAUAUUGGGUAGGGGAGCGUUCUGUAAGCCGUUGAAGGUGCAUUGUAAAGUGUGCUGGAGGUAUCAGAAGUGCGAAUGCUGACAUGAGUAACGAUAAAGGGAGUGAAAAACUCCCUCGCCGGAAGAUCAAGGGUUCCUGUCCAACGUUAAUCGGGGCAGGGUAAGUCGACCCCUAAGGCGAGGCCGAAAGGCGUAGUCGAUGGGAAACGGGUUAAUAUUCCCGUACUUCUUAUAAUUGCGAUGGAGGGACGGAGAAGGCUAGGUGAGCCUGGCGACGGUUGUCCAGGUCCAAGUAUGUAGGCUGAUGGUUUAGGCAAAUCCGGACCAUCCUAAGGCUGAGAUACGAUGUCGAGCUACUACGGUAGUGAAGUCAUUGAUGCCAUGCUUCCGGGAAAAGCUUCUAAGCUUCAGAUUAUAAGAAAUCGUACCCCAAACCGACACAGGUGAUCAGGUAGAGAAUACCAAGGCGCUUGAGAGAACUCGGGUGAAGGAACUAGGCAAAAUGGUACCGUAACUUCGGGAGAAGGUACGCUCCUAGCGGUGAUGAGACUUGCUCUCUAAGCUGCCGGGAGUCGCAGAUACCAGGUGGCUGCAACUGUUUAUUAAAAACACAGCACUGUGCAAAAUCGAAAGAUGACGUAUACGGUGUGACGCCUGCCCGGUGCCGGAAGGUUAAUUGAUGGGGUUAGACUUCGGUCGAAGCUCUUGAUCGAAGCCCCGGUAAACGGCGGCCGUAACUAUAACGGUCCUAAGGUAGCGAAAUUCCUUGUCGGGUAAGUUCCGACCUGCACGAAUGGCGUAAUGAUGGCCACGCUGUCUCCACCCGAGACUCAGUGAAAUUGAAAUCGCAGUGAAGAUGCUGUGUACCCGCGGCUAGACGGAAAGACCCCGUGAACCUUUACUAUAGCUUGGCACUGAACAUUGACCCUACAUGUGUAGGAUAGGUGGGAGACGUUGAAGCAAUCACGCCAGUGGUUGUGGAGUCAAUCUUGAAAUACCACCCUUGUAUGCUUGAUGUUCUAACGUCGACCCCUUAUCGGGGUUACGGACAGUGCCUGGUGGGUAGUUUGACUGGGGCGGUCUCCUCCCAAAGAGUAACGGAGGAGCACGAAGGUGGGCUAAUCACGGUCGGACAUCGUGAGGUUAGUGCAAUGGCAUAAGCCCGCUUGACUGCGAGAAUGACAAUUCGAGCAGGUGCGAAAGCAGGUCAUAGUGAUCCGGUGGUUCUGAAUGGAAGGGCCAUCGCUCAACGGAUAAAAGGUACUCCGGGGAUAACAGGCUGAUACCGCCCAAGAGUUCAUAUCGACGGCGGUGUUUGGCACCUCGAUGUCGGCUCAUCACAUCCUGGGGCUGAAGUCGGUCCCAAGGGUAUGGCUGUUCGCCAUUUAAAGUGGUACGCGAGCUGGGUUUAGAACGUCGUGAGACAGUUCGGUCCCUAUCUGCCGUGGGCGUUGGAUGAUUGAGAGGGGCUGCUCCUAGUACGAGAGGACCGGAGUGGACGAACCGCUGGUGUUCGGGUUGUAUCGCCAGAUGCAUUGCCCGGUAGCUAAGUUCGGAAUCGAUAACCGCUGAAAGCAUCUAAGCGGGAAGCGAGCCUCAAGAUGAGUCAUCCCUAGACCUUUAAGGUCUCUAAAGGGUUGUUGAAGACUACAACGUUGAUAGGUCAGGUGUGUAAGUGCUGCGAGGCAUUGAGCUAACUGAUACUAAUUGCCCGUGAGGCUUAACC
rnacentral:rRNA from 2 species